AACGUAGGUUCCGAGCGUUAUCCGGAUUUACUGGGCGUAAAGCGUGCGCAGGCGGUGAUGUAAGACAGAUGUGAAAUCCCCGGGCUCAACCUGGGAACUGCAUUUGUGACUGCAUCGCUGGAGUGCGGCAGAGGGGGAUGGAAUUCCGCGUGUAGCAGUGAAAUGCGUAGAUAUGCGGAGGAACACCGAUGGCGAAGGCAAUCCCCUGGGCCUGCACUGACGCUCAUGCACGAAAGCGUGGGGAGCAAACAGG
rnacentral:rRNA from 1 species